UACGUAGGGGGCAAGCGUUGUCCGGAUUUAUUGGGCGUAAAGAGCGUGUAGGCGGUUGGGUAGGUCCGUUGUGAAAACUCGAGGCUCAACCUCGAGACGCCGAUGGAAACCCCCCAGCUAGAGUCCGGAAGAGGAGAGUGGAAUUCCUGGUGUAGCGGUGAAAUGCGUAGAUAUCGUAAGGAAGACCAGUGGCGAAGGCGGGUCUCUGGACAGUUCCUGACGCUGAGGCACGAAGGCCAGGGGAGCAAACGGG
rnacentral:rRNA from 1 species